rnacentral:rRNA from 1 species
AAAUUGAAGAGUUUGAUCAUGGCUCAGAUUGAACGCUGGCGGCAGGCCUAACACAUGCAAGUCGAACGGCAGCGGGAAGUAGCUUGCUACUUUGCCGGCGAGUGGCGGACGGGUGAGUAAUGUCUGGGAAACUGCCCGAUGGCGGGGGAUAACUACUGGAAACGGUGGCUAAUACCGCAUGACGUCGCAAGACCAAAGAGGGGGACCUUAGGGCCUCUUGCCAUCGGAUGUGCCCAGAUGGGAUUAGCUAGUAGGCGGGGUAAUGGCCCACCUAGGCGACGAUCCCUAGCUGGUCUGAGAGGAUGACCAGCCACACUGGGACUGAGACACGG